AUGCACUGCAGCACUGUAACGUUGAAACUGCCACGUUCAGAGUCACACUGCAGCACCUCGGAUUUGAUAAAUGGUUUGUCCUCAUGAUCCACUGAUGCAGACUACAUGGGAAGUCCCAAUGUCCUGGUGCCCAAAGGCAAGAUCAUUUUCCCCCUGCAGUGUUUCUGUUUAUCAUGGUGAUAUGAGUGGGCUCUUAUUGGGGGUGCCUAAUGCUGCAAUAAAGAAAGGAUUUUCUCAGCCUGGCGCAGUGGCUCAUGCCUGUAAUCCCAACACUUUUGGAGGCUGAGGCAGGCAGAUCACGAGGUCAACAGAUCAAGACCAUCCUGGCCAACAUGGUGAAACACUGUCUCUACUAAAAAUACAAAAAUUAGCUAGGCAUGGUGGCAUGCACCUGUUGUCCCAGCUACUUGGGAGGCUGAGGCAGAAGAAUUGCUUGAACCCGGGAAGCAGAGGUUACAGUGAGCUGAGACCGCACCACUGCACUCCAGCCUGGUGACAGAGCGAGACUCCGUCUCAAAGAAGAAAAAAAAAAGAAAAGAUUUUAUCUUCUGAAUUAAGCUGUAUCCCUCUGAGCUAGUCAGGGAAAUAGGCAAUCUGUAUUUCUAUGGCUCAUAGAUACUGGCAUCACUGGUUAUCACUUGUGAUAAGUAAGCAACAUCCUUCCUUCAUAGAUUUAUAGCUCAGUGUUUGGCAUAUGUGCUACAAUUAUUAUCACAGGCAAGGUGUGCAGAGGCACAGUUUUCUAGGAUACAAGCACCUGUCUGUUUUGUUCACCUCUCCCUAUAUGGCACUUAGCAUAGUGCUUGUCAUAUCAAAGGCACUCAGAAAUGUUAAUUAAAUAAAUAUUAGUGAUAGAAGAAUGUCUUUCUAUUGUCUUCACAUAUGAAUAAAAAGUUGGCCGGGGCAGUGGCUCACGCCUGUAAUCCCAGCA